UAAAGAAUGUGAUAAAUGUCUCUAGGUUAUUCAUUAAUCCUGAUAUUCCUGAGUCUGUUGAGUUCCUAAGUAGGUUAGUUGUGAUAAAAAUAUUGAAAACCUAGAAGAUGCCAUGCUUAUUUUGUUGGUGUUCAUGUAUAUGUUUUGUGUUAUGAAGAUUAGUUAUUGUAUCUUGUGUGUAGAUUUAGUGUAGCCAGAUAUAGAUUCUCAAGACUUAUGACCAAUGACCUUGGAUACUUAGUUUCUAAAGUUGAUGGUGAUUAUUUCAAUCCCAAAGAGAUCAGUAAUAUUCAAGAUCUUCAUUCAGAUAAUGGGGAUUCUCAUUACUUUGUUAUUGGGACAAUUAAGGAAGUUAUGGAUGAACCAGAUUGGUGGUACUACACAUGUGUGUGUGGUCAUGCCGUUGUUGAGCAUGAGGAUCUCUACCUUUGUGAUGCUUGUGGUUCAUGUGUUGAGCAUGUUAUGGUCAAGUGAGCUUCAUAAGUAACUUUAUUUUGGAAUAGAUUAAUUAAUAAUCUUAUGGAUUUUUUCUUACUUCUUUGUUAUGCGCCACUCUAUGUGUUGUUAAGCAGAUUUCUUGGUUUUAGUUAUGAUUCUUGGUUGUUAAUUGUGUUAGAUAUGGGAUUCGGGUAAAGAUUCAGGCUGCUCGGUGUACUGUUUUGUUUGUUUUGCUUGAUAAUGCGGCAACAAAACUAUUUGGAAGAACCUGUUCGGAAGCAUUUCUCAGGAUAGAAGAAGAAUUUCCUGUUGAUCCUAGUGUGCUUGCAGUUUGUCGGUCAUAUUCUCCACAAAUGUUUGAUUAUGUUGUUGGAGAGGAGAAAGUUUUCAAGGUUGAAAUUGAUUCUGCAGUUGAUCCAGAUUACUCCAGUUGCUUUAAAAUUGUAAAUGUCUUUAGUCAUAAUCCGGAACCAGUUGCAGCCGAUGAUUAUAUCAAUGUAUGAUUCCUCACCUUAUGUUACAACAUGUUCAUGCAAUUGUUUUUUCUGAAUCAAUGGAUUCGAUACUUAUUGUAACCAACUUAUCCCAGGCAAUGCUUCAUGGUCCCAUUUUUCCACCAAUCUAUGAUAGCUACUUGCAGUAUGCAACUGGCGAAGAUUACAAGAUUCAAGUAGUGUGUGAUAAUGCU